rnacentral:rRNA from 1 species
UGGGGAAUCUUGGACAAUGGGCGCAAGCCUGAUCCAGCCAUGCCGCGUGGAUGAUGAAGGCCUUAGGGUUGUAAAAUCCUUUCGUUGGGGACGAUAAUGACGGUACCCAAAGAAGAAGCUCCGGCUAACUUCGUGCCAGCAGCCGCGGUAAUACGAAGGGGGCUAGCGUUGUUCGGAUUUACUGGGCGUAAAGCGCGUGUAGGCGGGUCGUUAAGUUGGGGGUGAAAUCCCGAGGCUCAACCUCGGAACUGCCUUCAAAACUGGCGACCUGGACCUAAGUAGAGGCAAGUGGAAUUGCGAGUGUAGAGGUGAAAUUCGUAGAUAUUCGCAGGAACACCAGUGGCGAAGGCGACUUGCUGGACUUAUGGUGACGCUGAGACGCGAAAGCGUGGGGAGCAAACAGGAUUAGAUACCCCCGUAGUCCCUGAGCGGGCUGGCAAGGCGCAU